AUAUGUAGCUUUCUUUAUUUUCUCACUAUGCAGUGCUUUGGAAGAAAUCAUGCCUGAAGAAGCUAUUCAGCUAUAUACUGAUGUCAUUACAAUUCUUGAGGAAGAUGGAGGAGGAUAAAUGGCCUUUGAUUUGUAUCGUUCUGCUACUGCUGUUUAUAUAAAACUUGAGAAGUAUUCGGACGCUGCGCCUCUCCAAUUGAAGUUCGGCUUAGCAGCUUCCAAGUGUAAUGCUACCAAUAGCCAGUGCAAGGCAUAUCUCAAUGCAAUUAUUAUCUACCUUUAUACUAAUGACUACAAGCAAGCAGAGAUGUGUUAUAAUGACUGCUCUUGGUGAGUUUCUGCCUCCUUU